UAGAAAAAUUAUUCUGGUAGAAUUUAAAGAAUUAAGCCUUCAAGAAUCAUUUUUGCUAUAAAUCCUAAUUUAUGUAUUAAUCAACUAAUAUAAAUGUUGGAGGGAAUAUUAGCAAAUAACUAUAAUUUUCAUAUGAGAUCAUUUCAUUUAAUGAUUGGUAGUCUGGGGACUUGGCAUAUAGCUGUAUGUUUUUAUAUAGAUGGGCAUAUUUUAAAGCUACAAAGCAUUAGGACAGUAAAAACUUUUAUUGUUAAUUUUUGUGCAAUGAAAGGACACUACUAAACCAAAUACCUUGUGAUUCCUUUUCCAUGGGCCAUACAUGAAUGAUGACCUAAGUGACAGAUAUAACAAAAGUUUUGACCAAUUCCCAAUUCCUCCUGGGUUAACAGGAGAAGUAUCAUACAUACGAGAGGAUAAUGAGAUAUGAAACCUAAGGCUGUUCUUCUCCACCUGACUGGGAAUGUAUACAACUUUAACAACUUACUCUCCCAAGUUUAUGAAUGGAAAAGUCAAGUAAAUAGAGGAGAUACCAAUGACUAACAAUGAACCUGUAAUGUUUGCCUUGGAUACAUGCAACCAUAGUAUUAAAUCCCACUGAUUCCUUCUCAGAAUGAAACGAUGACAUUUUUGUUGUUUUUUGUUUUUUUCUUAAGAACUUGUGAGCUAUGUCAUGAAUGGUGUAUGACUGUUUUGGCCAGGGAUUAAAAAUGUUUUUUUACAUUUGUACUGGGAAUGAGCAAAGCCCAGAUGUUUUUCUUUAGCUGCUGAUUAGAGGCAUUAUUUUCAAUGAUGGCAGUAACGCUAGCAAUUCCUUUCUGUACCAGUAAAUAAUUAUUGAUACAAAUAGUUUUCAGAUGACAGGUCAGAUGAAUAAUUGUUUGUCAGUUAUUAAUAAACUGACAGGCUAGGAACCAUGGGCAAUUAUCAAUACAUAAAACCAACUGUGGGAUCAUUCGGUGAAAGCUUCAUGGUAAAUGGCUUUUGGAAUCUGAGUCAAAGAAACCAGAGUUGAAAUCUUGGCUCCUGCCCUUAUCCUAUCUAAGCCUAAGAUUCCUCUUCAUCUGUAAAAUGGUCAUAUAUUAACUCAUGAAAUAAUUGUAGUGAUUAAAUGAAGUCAUGAAUGUAAAGCAUUUAUCAUAGUGGUUGACAUUGAAUACACAAUAUAUAACAUAUUUAUUACUAUAAUGGCAAAUAAAAUACAUUAUCCUAUGAAAUUAGUCAAACCUAGAUAUCUGAUCUUUUCAAUUCCCAAAGAAAGCUUUGAUGUAACCCAAAACUUUGGCUGGGUUGCAGUUUGUUCUGCUGGGUCAAUUUGCACAUUCUCUCUCUCCCUCUCUUUGUUUCUAGAAGGGAGGAAUAUUUUCCUCAGCUCUUAUAGAGUCCCUGGCUGGGUCUGAAAAUAAAACUGACAGAGACACAUUAAAAAGAGAAAAACAUACACUUAAUAAGUUUCACAUGAUGGAAAAGCCUUCAGAAAAGAAGACUCAAAGAAACAGAGUUUACCCACAAAGGGAUAAAAGCAGAACACUAAAAGAAUCAAGAACUUUUGAUGGAGGCGAAACAUUUCUAGGAGGGAAAAACUGAACGUCUGGACUGCUGUCCAAGCAGAACCGGCCUGAGCACAGACUGGAACAGCAUGAAGACUGUUUUUAGCGUCAGAUGGAGGAACACAUUUUUCUUUCUAAAAGACAUCAUGGGAAAUGAAGGGAAGUAAAACCUCAAAAGCAAUCUUUUCAAACUUGUAAAUUUCUCUCUAUAAAUCAUGAUUUCUGCUUUCUAACAAUAACCAAGGAGCCUUCUUGAACAUCAAAUAGCUCUUGCAUAACGACAUAUUUUUAAUAUUCGAUGUAUGUAAACUAGAAACGGAUAAAAUAGCAAACAUUUAGAAGUUAGUGAAUUAAAUGGAAAAACACCUCUGAAAGUACAUCUUGUAUUGUUAUUGCAAAACCACAAUGUUACCAAUAUUGGAUAAACCCUGCCUGAAAACAGCUGGGUUUUUACUUUCUCUAAUUGUAUCUGAUCCAAAUCACUUUUAUUUUUUUUAAGACAAUAUCAUUUCUGUACAUUACUCUUACUUUCAGAGCUGAGUUCUGGACUAUGUGCCAAUGCUUACUGAAUUCACUUUCUCCAUGUUUGUGAAUGAAUAAGCGUGAGUUUGCAGCCCACUGCUGAGUUUUCAUAAUAAUGAAGGAACAAUGGUCUUUGAAAGUCACAGAUAAUCCCCACUCCUCAUUGUGGUCAUCUGUUUCAAUCCAGCUUUUCUCUGGAACAACCAGAAAGAUACAAAAUUGACUGAUGAUCUUCUCCCUUCCCCUGCCUGACCCUGCAUGCAUACACACCCCCUCUCAUAGAGGUGCCAAGGAGCAGUGAAAUGACCAAAAGGCAGGGAGUAGGAGGGAGAGGAAAGAAAAACAAACCGAGUGAUCAACCUCAAAUGACUGAGUGUUGGCUGUUUUCUAUUAUUUACUCCCCUGAGCUUUCUCAGAUGUGUUUUUUUGAGAAGACUUUCAUGUUGUCUUUUCUUUCGUCUCUUAUAGUUAACCACCAUUUUCCAUGCAAGGGGCUGGGGUGCAGAGCACUUGAAUGAGGUCCAGGUAGGCUGCCAGAUUCUCAAGAUGCUUAAGCACAAUAUUUCCAUCCUUGAUCUUCUGAAAACAAGCUUUUAAAUUAUGUGUGAACCCCUGUCUGUGAUGCACAGAAAGGAAAGUCACAAAGUAAUGAGUGAAAAUUCACAAGCAGCUCAUCGAUCUUUGAUAUUUACAUACAGCAUUAAAUAUGUGGAUAUUUUUCAAAUUAUGCAUUUUGGAAUUUGGUAUGUCCAUUUUAUAAAGGGCAGCCUGCAGUUCAUAAAAACAUGAUCCACAUUGAGUUAUGUCUGAUCUACUCUCUCUACCAGAGGUUUUUAAAUUUCUUGUAUCAUGAAUUAAACAUAGGACAGUCUCAUUCAUUUGAAUAAAAUCCGCCCACUGGGGGUCAAAUGCCUGACCUGGGUCAAAUCUGUGGAAGCGCCAUUGUGGAAAAGAAUGCCCUCUGACCAUGUCUUUUCUGUUUCAAUUGUCCAAGGGCUAAGAAUGAACACCAAAGAGGAAGGAACACAUCAAUCUGAGUCACCAACACUUCAAAGAUGGUCUUUCUCAAAAGACCAAUACACUGCAGGCUUUCAUCAGACAUAAACUGACUUAAAGGAGUUUCCUAAAGGAGAUAGACUUUAUGUAAAACUGCUUUUUGUUUGCUGUAGGAUUUAAUGGUAGAGGGAAUUUCUUUGUAAGUAUAAAAAUAAUUCUAAAGGUCAUUAUUAUGAUGAUUUAUGGAGUAACAAUUUUGUUCCAAGCAUUAUGCCAAGUGCUUUACAUAAAUUACCUAAUUUAGCUAUAUUAAAAACCAUAUGAGAUAGCUAUUAUCAUUAUUCUUUAUCUAUAUUGUUAUGAAUGAUGAAAAGGAAGCACAGAAAAGUUAAGUAUUUACUGAAGCUCACAACCCAUCAGAAUUUUAAUUUCCUUUAUGUUACUCCACAAGAUAACAUUAGAUUUGGAAGAUGACAUACUUAACAUAUUUCAUUAAGGUUUUUAAAACUGUCUCAAAGAUCCUACUAAUGCUGAUAUAGUUUGUUUUGGGGAUCCUCAAAAAGGAAUUUCAUAUAAUUUCGGCUAUUGAUGAUCAUUUCUGACAACUUGAAAAUGUCACUGUAGAGUACAUAU